rnacentral:rRNA from 1 species
CCUACGGGUGGCAGCAGUGAGGAAUAUUGGUCAAUGGCCGAAACGCUGAACCAGCCAAGUCGCGUGAGGGAAGAAUGUCCUAUGGGUUUUAAACCUCUUUUGUCAGGGAGCAAAUGAACCCACGUGUGGGUGUUGGAGAGUAUCUGAAGAAAACGCAUCGGCUAACUCUGUGCCAGCAGCCGCGGUAAUCCGGAGUAUGCGAGCGUUAUCCGGAUUUACUGGGCGUAAAGGGCUCGUAGGCGGUAAUGCAAGUCAAGGGUGAAAUCCCCGCGCCCAACGUUGGAACUGCCUUUGAAACUGGCUAACUGGAGUGUGUGAGGGGCUAGUGGAAUUCCAGGUGUAGGAGUGAAAUCCGUAGAUAUCAGGAGGAACAUCAGUGGCGAAGGCGACUAUCUGGAACAUAACUGACGCUGAGGAGCGAAGGCGUGGGUAGCAAACAGGAUUAGAUACCCCUGUAGUC